ensembl:misc_RNA Metazoa_SRP Metazoan signal recognition particle RNA
GCUAGGUGUGGUGGUGUGCACCUGUAAUCCCAGCUACUUGGGAGACUGAGGCAGGAGGAUCACUUGAGCCCAGGAGGUCAAGGCUGCAGUGAGCCGUGAUUGUGCCACAGCACUCCAGCCUGGCUGACAGAGUGAGACUCUGCCUCUA